rnacentral:rRNA from 1 species
CUACGGGUUGCUCCAGUGGGGAAUAUUGGACAAUGGGGGAAACCCUGAUCCAGCAAUGCCGCGUGUGUGAAGAAGGCCUGCGGGUCGUAAAGCACUUUCGGUUGGGAGGACUGCUUCUAGCACUAAUAUUGUUGGAAGUUGACGUUACCUUCAGAAGAAGCACCGGCUAACUCCGUGCCAGCAGCCGCGGUAAUACGGAGGGGGCAAGCGUUAAUCGGAAUUACUGGGCGUAAAGCGCGCGUAGGCGGCUAGAUAAGUCGGGUGUGAAAGCCCCGGGCUUAACCUGGGAACUGCAUCCGAUACUGUCUGGCUUGAGUACAGGAGAGGAGAGUGGAAUUCCACAUGUAGAGGUGAAAUGCGUAGAUAUGUGGAGGAACACCAAUGGCGAAGGCAGCUCUCUGGCCUGAUACUGACGCUGAGGUGCGAAAGCGUGGGGAGCAAACAGGAUUAGAUACCCGUGUAGUC